CCUACGGGAGGCAGCAGUGAGGAAUAUUGGUCAAUGGGCGCGAGCCUGAACCAGCCAAGUAGCGUGAAGGAUGACUGCCCUACGGGUUGUAAACUUCUUUUAUCAAGGAAUAAAGUGAGGCACGUGUGCCUUUUUGUAUGUACUUUAUGAAUAAGGAUCGGCUAACUCCGUGCCAGCAGCCGCGGUAAUACGGAGGAUCCGAGCGUUAUCCGGAUUUAUUGGGUUUAAAGGGAGCGUAAAUGGGUUGUUAAGUCAGUUGUGAAAGUUUGCGGCUAAACCGUAAAAUUGCAAUUGAUACUGCAAGCCUUGAGUACAGUGAGGGUAGGCGGAAUUCGGGGUGUAGCGGUGAAAGGCUUAGAUAUCACGAAGAA
rnacentral:rRNA from 1 species